AGCAGAAAACCCCUUCCUGCUGGGGAUGGCGGGCAGCCUCUUCCUGGUUGGGAUGAUUGACAUGAGGGGUGGGGCGGGAGAGCGCCCCUUACAGGACCCCCAUUCCGAUGUAAUGCGGUUUUCUCUUCAUCCAUUUUCCUUUAUAUGUUCUGGCUAAAACUUAUUUUAUUUUUGUUUUAUUUAGUUUGUCCCUCUCAGGAUUUUGUGUAGUCCCUCGGGGCGAGGACCCUCAUUCUGUUGAGGUCAGGCGCGUUCAGGGUGGUAUGGCCGUAGACUCCUUCGGGAGAGGCGCUUCCUGGAGCUUGGGACUUUGCCAGUGAGCAAAAGCAAGGAACAUCUCGCCCUCAUCCCGGUCCGGGAGGCAGACAAUGAAUGGAGCAGUCUAAGAAAUCAGUAAAUGAUUUCUUCUGUUA